rnacentral:rRNA from 1 species
UACGUAGGGUCCGAGCGUUUGUCCGGAAUUACUGGGCGUAAAGAGCUCGUAGGUGGUUUGUCGCGUUGUUCGUGAAAACUCACAGCUCAACUGUGGGCGUGCGGGCGAUACGGGCAGACUGGAGUACUGCAGGGGAGACUGGAAUUCCUGGUGUAGCGGUGAAAUGCGUAGAUAUCAGGAGGAACACCGGUGGCGAAGGCGGCUCUCUGGACGGUGAC